rnacentral:rRNA from 11 species
GCAAGGGCUAAAUACCAUAAAGGCACUAGAUCCUAACUGAUCUUGGAAGGUAAGUAGGGUUAGUCCUGGUUAUUACCUGGAUGGGAUACCAUCAACAAGUACCAAGUACUUUAGGCA